AGUCUUUGAAGUGUCUGAAGAUUUACAUACAUGUUAACACACUAAAAGAUCCCUUUAUGGAAAGUGAACAUUAUAAACAGGAAGCGGAGGGAUUCAGAACAAUUCUGUGACUGAGGCCAGACAUGGAAUACUGAAGUGUUAGUACCGCUUGAUACUGCUUUGGUGAGCCCAUACUUGGAAUAGUGUGUCCAGGUUUGCUCACAUAAUACAAAAAGAUGUUGAGACUCUAGAACCGUGAUGGUGAACCUAUAGUACACGUGCCACACGGAGCUAUUUGUUAGGGCACGCAAGGCGUUGGCCUGUCAGCUCCAGCGCGCCUGCGAGCGCUGGCAAGCUGACUUCAGCUUUCAUUUUUGUCCAUUUUUCGCCUUCAGGAGGCUUCCCUGAAGCCUCUGGAGGAAGAAAAACAGCCCUAUAGGAAACCCUGAAGUCCGUUCCUGAACUUCCAGUUUGCCCGUAGGGGUGGUUUUGCUCCCUCUGGAAACUGCGCCAAAGUGGGGGAGAGGGCGGGGGUCGCACGCACAUGUGUGGAGGGAGAGUCGUGCGUGCAUGCAAGGGAGUCACACGCAUACGAUUAUGGGUGUGGGCUCGCCCAUGCACAACCCCCCUAUGCCCCCCCUGCGUUUGGCACGCAAUGGCAAAAAGGUAAGCCAUCGCUGGUCAAGAAAGAGUGCAGAGAUGAGCAACAAAAUUGAUGAGGGCACUGGAAACGAAAACAUAUUCUGGUGGCCCUCCCCUGAAAUUCUGCCUGGGCAUUUCUAUGAUAUAUGAUGAUCAUCCUAAAAGUCUUUUUUGCAGAAAUGUGCUAUUUCUCUACCAGUGAAUGUCCAUUAAUUUCUGCUGAUAGUGAGCUAUGGGAAAUUAGUCUUUAUUAAAUUUUCUUUUCUCCCUCAUCUCACAACCAUGCAAAGGUGGGUUUUGUGCUACAAGGACC